GCCCUUAUAAUUCAAUGGAUAGAAUACAAGCUUGCGGAGCUUGAAAUAGAGGUUCGACUCCUCUUAAGGGCA
rfam:Parcubacteria bacterium 32_520 MPJ_scaffold_4484, whole genome shotgun sequence.